UACGGAGGGUGCAAGCGUUAUCCGGAUUCACUGGGUUUAAAGGGUGCGUAGGUGGGUCUGUAAGUCAGUGGUGAAAUCUCCGAGCUUAACUCGGAAACUGCCAUUGAUACUAUAGGUCUUGAAUUAUCUGGAGGUGAGCGGAAUAUGUCAUGUAGCGGUGAAAUGCUUGGAUAUGACAUAGAACACCAAUUGCGAAGGCAGCUCACUACGGAUAUAUUGACACUGAGGCACGAAAGCGUGGGGAUCAAACAGG
rnacentral:rRNA from 1 species